rnacentral:rRNA from 1 species
CAGCAGCCGCGGUAAUACGGAGGGAGCUAGCGUUGUUCGGAAUUACUGGGCGUAAAGCGCGCGUAGGCGGUUACUCAAGUCAGAGGUGAAAGCCCGGGGCUCAACCCCGGAACUGCCUUUGAAACUAGGUGACUAGAAUCUUGGAGAGGUCAGUGGAAUUCCGAGUGUAGAGGUGAAAUCCGUAGAUAUUCGGAAGAACACCAGUGGCGAAGGCGACUGACUGGACAAGUAUUGACGCUGAGGUGCGAAAGCGUGGGGAGCAAACAGGAUUAGAUACCCCGGUAGUCCCUGUCUCUUAUAC